rnacentral:misc_RNA from 1 species
UGCAUAUGGCGGGUGGCGUCAUGUUUGUAUUUACAGUCUCCCGAGCGAGAUUUCAUUCAUGUAUGCACAAGUCACAAGUGAUUUUCGUCUGAGGGAGAGCUUUUAUCACCGAUCGUGCCUGUAGACGAUCGACGACGACCGGUCGAGGGCGGCAUGAGGCACCGCGUCAUGCCGGCGCUCUCGGCCGGCUUCGGGGAGCAGAUUGAGGAAUAUGAAGUGCUGAAUCUACUGGGCAAGGGCGGUUACGGGAGCGUCUACCGAGCGAAAUGUCUCCGCAGCGGCAUAGAAGUCGCGAUCAAGAUGAUCGACAAGAAAAUGAUGGCAGCUGCUGGGAUGGCGGAUAGGGUAAGCCAAGAAGUAAAGAUACACUGGCGGUUAAAGCAUCCGGCCAUCCUGGAAUUGUAUACGUGUUUCGAAGAUGCAAACUAUGUGUAUCUGGUCUUGGAGUUGUGUCACAACGGGGAGCUCCAACGCUUCCUCAAAGCACAGGGUACCAAAGUUCUGUCCGAGGAUCAUGCUGCCCCUAUAAUCCGGCAAGUUGUACAGGGCUUGCUCUAUCUUCACUCUCACCAAAUACUUCACCGAGACCUGUCGUUAUCUAAUCUACUAUUGACCAGGGAUAUGCAGGUGAAAAUAGCGGAUUUCGGAUUGGCUACGCAGCUGAACAAGCCGGACGAGAAACACUUGACCAUGUGCGGCACACCGAAUUACAUCUCGCCCGAGGUCGCGACGAGAUCAUCGCACGGUCCGGAGGCAGACGUGUGGAGCUUGGGGUGCAUGUUGUACACUUUGUUGGUGGGCAAACCACCAUUCGACACUGACGCCAUCAAGAGUACCUUGACCAGAGUGGUCAUGGCGGAUUACGUGAUGCCGCCUCACUUGUCGGACAAUGCGAAGGAUCUGAUAGACAAGUUGCUGAAGAAGAAUCCGAAGGAUAGAAUACGCCUGCGGGACAUUCAAAAGCAUCCGUUCAUAGCGAGCGUAGAGAAGAACAGACUGCAUAGCGAAAGAAACGGUAUGAGCCAAGCGCUACUGAGCAACGGCAUCAUGGAUUCCGGACUCGGUAGAACGCUGUCGUCGUACGGCAGGUCGAAGAUACGAUCGCGAUCGGAGGAAAGGAUGUCGACGAUGCCGAUGGUACCACUGGUCAGCAUGAGAAGCGAGGCGCUGUCCGAGCCGAUUGCGAGGAUGCACUCGUAUCACAAAACGAGAUGUGCCAACAAUUGUACAAAAGAGGAUUCCGUGUUGAUGGACGUGCCGUUACCUCGCGCUAGGCUUUUCUCCUACAACGGGCUGUAUGGCAAUCGUAAUGCGUGCGACGACUUCGAGAGGCAGAAGCCGGUAAUCGAGCGGCAACACAAACCGAAAAGAGAGAAGAGCGUGGAAAACCUGAGAAACGCUGAGAAAAAUGAAGUACCCACGAAGUUGCAAGUGGCGCCUUUGGACUCCAACCGAUUGCAACCGACGAGGCAUCGAACGAAGAACGCGAUCCUUACAAUUUUGGACAACGGAGAGGUCUGCAUCGAGUUUAUCAAGCGGAGGAACGGCACGGAAAAAGUCAGCGAGGUCUGCCGAAUAUCGGACGAUGGCCUGCGGAUCGUUCUCUACAAACCGAACGCGGCGGAGGUAGGCCCGCAGCCGCCACCGUUGCCGAGUCGAGGCGCCGACAGCAUUUACUCGUACGAGAAUCUGCCGGCGUGUCAUCACCGAAAGUACAUGUACGCGUUCCGUUUCGUGAAGUUGGUCCGAGCGAAAACCCCGAAGCUGACGUUAUACACUCAGCGCUCCAAGUGCCUGUUCAUGGAGAACGGUCCGCAGCCUGACUGCGAGGUGCAUUUCUACAAUGGAGUAAAGGUUGUUCGAGUCGACGGCGUCGUGAGGAUCACCGACCACAACGGCGAUGCGACGUUCGUCGAGGGUGAGUUCCCGUUGCACCUCGAAACUUAUUACGAGCAUUACUCGGAGUGCUACCAGCGUUGCCUGCUGCUAGAGUCCACUCUAGCUUCCUUAGAAGCGGCCACCGGCCACCCCUGCUUCCCGGUGAUAAUCGGACGGAGGCCCAGUGCAGCCCUGAAUGACGCUUCCUGCUUACAGGGGAAGGAAAAUAUCUCGCAUACGACGAACGGUUCUCCCGUUUUACCCUCGUUUGACGCCACCUGCUCCGUCGUCUCGACGGUGACUUCCAGGUCGCGCAAGAUGAGUUCCAUGCACAGUUCCAGUUGCAAUAACGCGAACAAGGUAGCGGUACCGGGAAUCGGCUUCGCUACGAAACUGUCGUCCGGCGACAUCAGAGUCGACUACAAGGACGGGUCCGCUUUAACCGUGAGUCCGCAGAAUCACGGAAGCGGCAUCAUGUACGAGAGCAACGACGGCGUCGUCGUGCGAUACAACACGCACCAUCAGCAAAACCUGGAGAUACCGGUUCAGGAGAAGCUCCGCCAGUUGCCUAUGGUUGUCAAAUAUCUCAUGGAACCGAGGCACAAGGGCAUCCGGUAGCUUCCGCACGAAUAUUUUUCAACAAAUGUUUUGUAUAAUACGAUCGACAGAGUCACGCCCGUGGACCAGAAAUGUUGUCGAGCCUGAAAACAAUUUGACGAAUGUUAAAUGUAAGGAGGCCUGACAGCUUUACAGUGGAAGAGAGCAAUAAUUUUCUGUAGAUAGAGGACAGGUAAAUAAUUUUUGUGAGAAUGGAAUAAUUGAGAACGCGCGGGCGUUUCCAUUACGAAUACUGUACAGAGGAAUCUAGGGAACAAUAAUACUCCACUGAAAGUAACGAGCUAUGUACGUAUAUACAGGUAUAUUUAUUACUUUUAUAUCGAUCGAGAAAUUACAUUAUUUCUAAUUUAUCAUUAUUAUUAUCAUCCGCUUUAUUACGCCAUUAUGAGAUAAGGGAAUAGUUCAUAAUAAAAAGUUCGCAUAAUAAAAUAUUUCUAU